rnacentral:rRNA from 1 species
UACGUAGGGUGCAGGCGUUAAUCGGAAUUACUGGGCGUAAAGCGUGCGCAGGCGGUUUGCUAAGACAGGUGUGAAAUCCCCGGGCUUAACCUGGGAACUGCGCUUGUAACUGGCAAGCUAGAGUGUGGCAGAGGGGGGUGGAAUUCCAGGUGUAGCAGUGAAAUGCGUAGAGAUCUGGAGGAACAUCAGUUGCGAAGGCGGCUCUCUGGACCAGCACUGACACUGAGGCACGAAAGCGUGGGGAGCAAACAGG